rnacentral:rRNA from 1 species
ACGGCUCAGUAACACGUGGACAACCUGCCCUUAGGUUGGGGAUAAACCCGGGAAACUGGGUAUAAUACCCGAUAGGUCUCGAUUGCUGGAAUGCAUCGAGAUUUAAAGCUCCGGCGCCUAAGGAUGGGUCUGCGGCCUAUCAGGUAGUAGUGGGUGUAGCGUACCUACUAGCCUACGACGGGUACGGGUUGUGAGAGCAAGAGCCCGGAGAUGGAUUCUGAGACACGAAUCCAGGCCCUACGGGGUGCAGCAGGCGCGAAAACUUUACAAUGCUGGCAACAGCGAUAAGGGAACCUCGAGUGCCAGGUUACAAAUCUGGCUGUCGAGAUGCCUAAAAAGCAUUUCAUAGCAAGGGCCGGGCAAGACCGGUGCCAGCCGCCGCGGUAACACCGGCGGCUCGAGUGGUAACCGUUAUUAUUGGGUCUAAAGGGUCUGUAGCCGGCCGGAUAAGUCUCUUGAGAAAUCUGGCAGCUUAACUGUCAGGCUUUCAGGAGAUACUGUCUGGCUCGAGGCCGGGAGAGGUGAGAGGUACUUCAGGGGUAGGGGUGAAAUCUUGUAAUCCUUGAAGGACCACCAGUGGCGAAGGCGUCUCACCAGAACGGACCUGACGGCAAGGGACGAAAGCUAGGGGCACGAACCGGAUUAGAUACCCGGGUAGUCCUAGCCGUAAACGAUACUCGCUAGGUGUCGGCCACGGUGCGACCGUUGUCGGUGCCGUAGGGAAGCCGUGAAGCGAGCCACCUGGGAAGUACGGCCGCAAGGCUGAAACUUAAAGGAAUUGGCGGGGGAGCAC